UUCUUUAGAAUAUAUUAAAGAUAAAACCUGCUCAAUGUUAAUAAAUAAAUAGCCGCGGUAAUUUAACUGCGCGAAGGUAGCAUAAUUAAUUGUCUUUUGAUUGGUGACUAGUCUGAACGGUUUAAUGAGAAUUUUUCUUUUUUUAAUAUUUAAUGAAAUUAUUUUCCACGGUUAAAAAACCUGGAUUAUUUAAGAAAGAAGAGAAGACCCCGAUGAAUUUUACAAUUAAAAAUUGUUUAAAUGGGAAAUUUCAAUUUUUUUUAAACUUGUUUUAGAUCCUUCUUUGAAGAAAAAGAUUAAAAUUACCACGGGGAUAACAGGACAAGAUUUGCUAAGAGUACUUAUUAAAGCAAAGGAUUGUUACCUCGAUGUUGAAUCAAAGUUUACUUCUUGGUGCAGCAGCUAAGUAGGUGGGUCUGUUCGACCCUUAAAACUUUACGUGAUUU
rnacentral:rRNA from 1 species